rnacentral:rRNA from 1 species
GAUGAACGCUGGCGGCGUGCCUAAUACAUGCAAGUCGAGCGAACAGACGAGGAGCUUGCUCCUCUGACGUUAGCGGCGGACGGGUGAGUAACACGUGGAUAACCUACCUAUAAGACUGGGAUAACUUCGGGAAACCGGAGCUAAUACCGGAUAAUAUAUUGAACCGCAUGGUUCAAUAGUGAAAGACGGUUUUGCUGUCACUUAUAGAUGGAUCCGCGCCGCAUUAGCUAGUUGGUAAGGUAACGGCUUACCAAGGCAACGAUGCGUAGCCGACCUGAGAGGGUGAUCGGCCACACUGGAACUGAGACACGGUCCAGACCCCUACGGGAGGCAGCAGUAGGGAAUCUUCCGCAAUGGGCGAAAGCCUGACGGAGCAACUCCGCGUGAGUGAUGAAGGUCUUCGGAUCGUAAAACUCUGUUAUUAGGGAAGAACAAAUGUGUAAGUAACUAUGCACGUCUUGACGGUACCUAAUCAGAAAGCCACGGCUAACUACGUG